rnacentral:rRNA from 1 species
GAUGAACGCUGGCGGCGUGCCUAAUACAUGCGAGUCGAGCGAACAGACGAGGAGCUUGCUCCUCUGACGUUAGCGGCGGACGGGUGAGUAAAACGUGGAUAACCUACCUAUAAGACUGGGAUAACUUCGGGAAACCGGAGCUAAUACCGGAUAAUAUAUUGAACCGCAUGGUUCAAUAGUGAAAGACGGUUUUGCUUUCACUUAUAGAUGGAUCCGCGCCGCAUUAGCUAGUUGGUAAGGUAACGGCUUACCAAGGCAACGAUGCGUAGCCGACCUGAGAGGGUGAUCGGCCACACUGGAACUGAGACACGGUCCAGACUCCUACGGGAGGCAGCAGUAGGGAAUCUUCCGCAAUGGGCGAAAGCUUGACGGAGCAACGCCGCGUGAGUGAUGAAGGUCUUCGGAUCGUAAAACUCUGUUAUUAGGGAAGAACAAAUGUGUAAGUAACUAUGCACGUCUUGACGGUACCUAAUCAGAAAGCCACGGCUAACUACGUG